rnacentral:rRNA from 1 species
AAAUGAAUUGACGGGCACCCGCACAAGCGGUGGAGCAUGCUGUUUAAUUCGAAGAUACGCGAAAAACCUUACCUGGGCUUGACAUCCCAAUGACCGUCUUAGAAAUAAGAUUUUCCCUUCGGGGACAUUGGUGACAGGUGGUGCAUGGUUGUCGUCAGCUCGUGUCGUGAGAUGUUCGGUUAAGUCCGAUAACGAGCGCAACCCUUAUCCUUAAUUGCUAACAUUUAGUUGAGAACCUUAAGGAGACCGCCGGUGAUAAAUCGGAGGAAGGUGGGGAUGACGUCAAAUCAUCAUGCCCCUUACGUCCAGGGCUACAGGCGUGCUACAAUGGCCGAUAUAAUAAGUCGCAAUACCGUGAGGUAAAGCUAAUCUAUAAAGUCGGUCUCAGUCCGGAUUGGAGUCUGCAACUCGACUCCAUGAAGUUGGAAUCGCUAGUAAUCCCGAAUCAGAAUGUCGGGGUGAAUACGUUCCCGGGUGUUGUACACACCGCCCGU